rnacentral:lncRNA from 13 species
ACUGGACUGGACUGGAGGUGGCCGUCGGGAGUGGGCCCGCUGCCUGCCGCAAGUUUCGCCCGGAGUGGGAAAGUUGGGCGGGACUCGUCCAGAUUCCUGGAAAUCUGAGGAGCAGUCUUUGGCGGACGAAGAAUGUAAUUCUCCCCGGAGGUGUGGGGUAUCUCUUAUGAAGGGGACUGAAGUAGGAUCAGCUGAUAUCCAAAAAGCACAACUUCAGGACAUGCAAGAGUACUUUGGAGUGAACUGGCAGUAAGCCUUGCAGUACCAUGGUGGCAGUA